UACGUAGGGUGCGAGCGUUAAUCGGAAUUACUGGGCGUAAAGCGUGCGCAGGCGGUGAUGUAAGACAGGUGUGAAAUCCCCGGGCUUAACCUGGGAAUGGCAUUUGGGACUGCAAGGCUUGAGUGCGGCAGAGGAGACUGGAAUUCCUGGUGUAGCAGUGAAAUGCGUAGAUAUCAGGAGGAACACCGAUGGCGAAGGCAGGUCUCUGGGCUGACACUGACGCUCAUGCACGAAAGCGUGGGGAGCAAACAGG
rnacentral:rRNA from 1 species